CCUCCUUUCUAAGGAUGAAUGAAAUUAACAUUUCAUUCUAAAUAAUAUACAUCGGUAAUGUUGACCGUCCUCAUUUCUCUUCUUAAAGUAAUGUUUCCUUCUUGUAGGGCCGGUAGCUCAGUUGGUUAGAGCACACCCUUGAUAAGGGUGGGGUCGAAAGUUCGAGUCUUUCUCGGCCCACCAUACUUAACUGGGGGAUUAGCUCACCUGGGAGAGCGCCUGAUUUGCAUUCAGGAGGUCAGCGGUUCGAUCCCGCUAUCCUCCACCAGGAAACAUUUAGUUAUAAAAAUUGUGAAUAAAAAUAAUAAUUAAUAUCAAUAUCUAUAUCCGAACAUUAGUAAUGUUAUUAGCUAAUGUUUAAAAUAAAAAUUCGAUCACAACAUAGAUAAUUUUUCUGUAAAAAGAAUUUUGUGCUGUGCAUAAAUCAAGCGUGUAAGGGCGUGUANUGCAUGCCUGGGCACUGAAAGCCGAUGAAGGACGUGAUAUACUGCGGUAAGUUUCGGGGAGCUGUAUGUAAGUUCGAUCCGAA
rnacentral:misc_RNA from 1 species